UCUUUUGUUUGGGUGUUCCAGAAGCUUUACUGUUAUAAAGCACCAUGCUUUGUAACAGCAUCGGGGUCGUUGCAGGACCCCCUGAUUACAAUAAAGCGAGAAAGAAGAACUCCUGACUUAAAAACAUGGUAUUCCUUCAGUGUAGGAAGCAGCAGUGAGGUUGUAAUAAAGGCUGCAUUCAAGAAGACCCAUCUGAACAGUGAGUUGGGUUAGCAGAGUGAUGAUUUUUAAUGCUUGUGAGAGCCAGUGUUAGACUGCCGAUUCUGCAUAGAGAGAUCAUCUAAAUGGGCAGAAGCCUGCACAAUUUAUGAAGUGCUGAUUUAAUACCAGCCUAUGCAAGACAAGGUCUCACUGUGUUGCCCAGGUUGGAGUGCAGUGGCGUAACCUCCCAGGCUCCAUUGAUCUCCCUCCUUAGCCUCCCAGAUAGCUGGGACUAGAGAUGGCCCAAGGGGCUAUACAAAGAAAGCUGUUUGCACAGGAUAGAAUUAAGAGCAGCAUGUCAGCAUUCCGUCUGCAGUUGAGAUGUUGAUUCCUCCUUGUAUUGCACAUUGCUGAAA
rnacentral:sRNA from 1 species